GGCUCCAUUCAGCUGCCUCUCUACCUUAGCUAAGUCCUUUUUUGUUUUUGUUUAUGUGUUUGUUUGUUUGUUUGUUUGUUUGUUUGAGGUAGGGCACCAUUGUAUUGCCCAACUGACCUUGAAUUUGAGACCUCUUACCUCCAAAGUGUUGGGAUUCCAGGUGAACAUCACCCCGCCUGGGUUUUAUUUGCUCUUUAAAAUAGUAUCACCUGUGUUCUAAACACCUUUGAAUUUGCCAAGGAAAACACUAGGCGGUUAUGGUGGCAAAAGCAUUUGGGAGGUAGAGGCAUGAGAAUCUCUGAGUUUGAGGUCAGCCUGCUUCUACAAAGCAAGUUCCAGGACAGCCAGGGCUUUUACACAGAGAAAUCUUGUCUUGUAGGUUUGUUUGUUUGGGGGUUUAAUGCAGCAGGAGCUAAGGAGACAGUGGUCUUUCAUUCUGCCAGAAAAAUGGAUACGGUGUAGACACCCAUGGGUGAGAGCUUAGGGAAAUCAUCUAGGCAACAGAAUAACUCUCGAAUUAGUUCUGUUGGCUAUGGAGCAGUACUUUGGGAAGCAGGGUUGUAAAUCACACACCCACUACUUGGUGCUCAAUCUUUCCUUCCCAUUUGAAGCCGGCAGCAGCAGAUGUUAGACACACUCCAAGGAUAGAGGGGAUAAAACAUAGGGUGCUCGCCUCAUGCUUAGAAUCCAGUGUUCUUGUAAGAAUCAGAAGCAAACCCAUCCUAUUGGUAUUCCGUGUAUUGGCAAGUCUGUGUUGACACAUCACUGAGUUGUUUCCGUCUUUAAAUCUCAGAAGGCCUGGUUCCAUUUAUCAUGUAUUUCAUGUGAGGGUGGCAAUUGUGAAAGAGAUGAGUCUAGAAGGAAAUGUAGUUAUGUCUCUGUCCCUUGUGCUCUGGCCUCCAGGGGAAAAAAAGGAACGACUGAGAGUUAAGGGCAUGGUAUAUUUGAUCACACUGUGUACCCCUGAGAUUGUAUUAUUUACUGGAAAAACCCCGUUUCUAGUUGUGUGGCUCUUAUAAUCCCGGUGGCCGGAAUUCAGACACACCCUUAAUGCAUACCUUUAAUCCCAAACAAUAAAGGUAAAUUAGUUUGUAGAAGAA
rnacentral:lncRNA from 1 species